AGUCUGCAACUCGACUACAUGAAGCUGGAAUCGCUAGUAAUCGCGAAUCAGCAUGUCGCGGUGAAUACGUUCCCGGGUCUUGUACACACCGCCCGUCACACCAUGGGAGGUCGGAAAUGCCCGAAGCCAGUGACCCAACCAUAAGGAGGGAGCUGUCGAAGGUGGAGCCGGUGACUGGGGUGAAGUCGUAACAAGGUACC
rnacentral:rRNA from 1 species